GCAGUCGAGCGAACAGAUAAGGAGCUUGCUCCUUUGACGUUAGCGGCGGACGGGUGAGUAACACGUGGAUAACCUACCUAUAAGACUGGGAUAACUUCGGGAAACCGGAGCUAAUACCGGAUAACAUAUUGAACCGCAUGGUUCAAUAGUGAAAGGCGGCUUUGCUGUCACUUAUAGAUGGAUCCGCGCCGUAUUAGCUAGUUGGUAAGGUGACGGCUUACCAAGGCAACGAUACGUAGCCGACCUGAGAGGGUGAUCGGCCACACUGGAACUGAGACACGGUCCAGACUCCUACGGGAGGCAGCAGUAGGGAAUCUUCCGCAAUGGGCGAAAGCCUGACGGAGCAACGCCGCGUGAGUGAUGAAGGUCUUCGGAUCGUAAAACUCUGUUAUCAGGGAAGAACAAAUGUGUAAGUAACUGUGCACAUCUUGACGGUACCUGAUCAGAAAGCCACGGCUAACUACGUGCCAGCAGCCGCGGUAAUACGUAGGUGGCAAGCGUUAUCCGGAAUUAUUGGGCGUAAAGCGCGCGUAGGCGGUUUUUUAAGUCUGAUGUGAAAGCCCACGGCUCAACCGUGGAGGGUCAUUGGAAACUGGAAAACUUGAGUGCAGAAGAGGAAAGUGGAAUUCCAUGUGUAGCGGUGAAAUGCGCAGAGAUAUGGAGGAACACCAGUGGCGAAGGCGACUUUCUGGUCUGUAACUGACGCUGAUGUGCGAAAGCGUGGGGAUCAAACAGGAUUAGAUACCCUGGUAGUCCACGCCGUAAACGAUGAGUGCUAAGUGUUAGGGGGUUUCCGCCCCUUAGUGCUGCAGCUAACGCAUUAAGCACUCCGCCUGGGGAGUACGACCGCAAGGUUGAAACUCAAAGGAAUUGACGGGG
rnacentral:rRNA from 1 species